rnacentral:rRNA from 1 species
AGCGUACACGGUGGAUGCCCUGGCAGUCAGAGGCGAUGAAGGACGUGCUAAUCUGCGAUAAGCGUCGGUAAGGUGAUAUGAACCGUUAUAACCGGCGAUUUCCGAAUGGGGAAACCCAGUGUGUUUCGACACACUAUCAUUAACUGAAUCCAUAGGUUAAUGAGGCGAACCGGGGGAACUGAAACAUCUAAGUACCCCGAGGAAAAGAAAUCAACCGAGAUUCCCCCAGUAGCGGCGAGCGAACGGGGAGCAGCCCAGAGCCUGAAUCAGUGUGUGUGUUAGUGGAAGCGUCUGGAAAGGCGUGCGAUACAGGGUGACAGCCCCGUACACAAAAAUGCACAUAUUGUGAGCUCGAUGAGUAGGGCGGGACACGUGGUAUCCUGUCUGAAUAUGGGGGGACCAUCCUCCAAGGCUAAAUACUCCUGACUGACCGAUAGUGAACCAGUACCGUGAGGGAAAGGCGAAAAGAACCCCGGCGAGGGGAGUGAAAAAGAACCUGAAACCGUGUACGUACAAGCAGUGGGAGCACGCUUAGGCGUGUGACUGCGUACCUUUUGUAUAAUGGGUCAGCGACUUAUAUUCUGUAGCAAGGUUAACCGAAUAGGGGAGCCGAAGGGAAACCGAGUCUUAACUGGGCGUUAAGUUGCAGGGUAUAGACCCGAAACCCGGUGAUCUAGCCAUGGGCAGGUUGAAGGUUGGGUAACACUAACUGGAGGACCGAACCGACUAAUGUUGAAAAAUUAGCGGAUGACUUGUGGCUGGGGGUGAAAGGCCAAUCAAACCGGGAGAUAGCUGGUUCUCCCCGAAAGCUAUUUAGGUAGCGCCUCGUGAAUUCAUCUCCGGGGGUAGAGCACUGUUUCGGCAAGGGGGUCAUCCCGACUUACCAACCCGAUGCAAACUGCGAAUACCGGAGAAUGUUAUCACGGGAGACACACGGCGGGUGCUAACGUCCGUCGUGAAGAGGGAAACAACCCAGACCGCCAGCUAAGGUCCCAAAGUCAUGGUUAAGUGGGAAACGAUGUGGGAAGGCCCAGACAGCCAGGAUGUUGGCUUAGAAGCAGCCAUCAUUUAAAGAAAGCGUAAUAGCUCACUGGUCGAGUCGGCCUGCGCGGAAGAUGUAACGGGGCUAAACCAUGCACCGAAGCUGCGGCAGCGACGCUGAUGCGUUGUUGGGUAGGGGAGCGUUCUGUAAGCCUGCGAAGGUGUGCUGUGAGGCAUGCUGGAGGUAUCAGAAGUGCGAAUGCUGACAUAAGUAACGAUAAAGCGGGUGAAAAGCCCGCUCGCCGGAAGACCAAGGGUUCCUGUCCAACGUUAAUCGGGGCAGGGUGAGUCGACCCCUAAGGCGAGGCCGAAAGGCGUAGUCGAUGGGAAACAGGUUAAUAUUCCUGUACUUGGUGUUACUGCGAAGGGGGGACGGAGAAGGCUAUGUUGGCCGGGCGACGGUUGUCCCGGUUUAAGCGUGUAGGCUGGUUUUCCAGGCAAAUCCGGAAAAUCAAGGCUGAGGCGUGAUGACGAGGCACUACGGUGCUGAAGCAACAAAUGCCCUGCUUCCAGGAAAAGCCUCUAAGCAUCAGGUAACAUCAAAUCGUACCCCAAACCGACACAGGUGGUCAGGUAGAGAAUACCAAGGCGCUUGAGAGAACUCGGGUGAAGGAACUAGGCAAAAUGGUGCCGUAACUUCGGGAGAAGGCACGCUGAUAUGUAGGUGAAGCGACUUGCUCGUGGAGCUGAAAUCAGUCGAAGAUACCAGCUGGCUGCAACUGUUUAUUAAAAACACAGCACUGUGCAAACACGAAAGUGGACGUAUACGGUGUGACGCCUGCCCGGUGCCGGAAGGUUAAUUGAUGGGGUCAGCGCAAGCGAAGCUCUUGAUCGAAGCCCCGGUAAACGGCGGCCGUAACUAUAACGGUCCUAAGGUAGCGAAAUUCCUUGUCGGGUAAGUUCCGACCUGCACGAAUGGCGUAAUGAUGGCCAGGCUGUCUCCACCCGAGACUCAGUGAAAUUGAACUCGCUGUGAAGAUGCAGUGUACCCGCGGCAAGACGGAAAGACCCCGUGAACCUUUACUAUAGCUUGACACUGAACAUUGAGCCUUGAUGUGUAGGAUAGGUGGGAGGCUUUGAAGUGUGGACGCCAGUCUGCAUGGAGCCGACCUUGAAAUACCACCCUUUAAUGUUUGAUGUUCUAACGUGGACCCGUAAUCCGGGUUGCGGACAGUGUCUGGUGGGUAGUUUGACUGGGGCGGUCUCCUCCUAAAGAGUAACGGAGGAGCACGAAGGUUGGCUAAUCCUGGUCGGACAUCAGGAGGUUAGUGCAAUGGCAUAAGCCAGCUUGACUGCGAGCGUGACGGCGCGAGCAGGUGCGAAAGCAGGUCAUAGUGAUCCGGUGGUUCUGAAUGGAAGGGCCAUCGCUCAACGGAUAAAAGGUACUCCGGGGAUAACAGGCUGAUACCGCCCAAGAGUUCAUAUCGACGGCGGUGUUUGGCACCUCGAUGUCGGCUCAUCACAUCCUGGGGCUGAAGUAGGUCCCAAGGGUAUGGCUGUUCGCCAUUUAAAGUGGUACGCGAGCUGGGUUUAGAACGUCGUGAGACAGUUCGGUCCCUAUCUGCCGUGGGCGCUGGAGAACUGAGGGGGGCUGCUCCUAGUACGAGAGGACCGGAGUGGACGCAUCACUGGUGUUCGGGUUGUCAUGCCAAUGGCACUGCCCGGUAGCUAAAUGCGGAAGAGAUAAGUGCUGAAAGCAUCUAAGCACGAAACUUGCCCCGAGAUGAGUUCUCCCUGACUCCUUGA